GUGGGGAAUAUUGGACAAUGGGGGGAACCCUGAUCCAGCCAUGCCGCGUGUGUGAAGAAGGCCUUUUGGUUGUAAAGCACUUUAAGCGAGGAGGAGGCUACCGAGAUUAAUACUCUUGGAUAGUGGACGUUACUCGCAGAAUAAGCACCGGCUAACUCUGUGCCAGCAGCCGCGGUAAUACAGAGGGUGCAAGCGUUAAUCGGAUUUACUGGGCGUAAAGCGCGCGUAGGUGGCCAAUUAAGUCAAAUGUGAAAUCCCCGAGCUUAACUUGGGAAUUGCAUUCGAUACUGGUUGGCUAGAGUAUGGGAGAGGAUGGUAGAAUUCCAGGUGUAGCGGUGAAAUGCGUAGAGAUCUGGAGGAAUACCGAUGGCGAAGGCAGCCAUCUGGACCAGCACUGACACUGAGGCACGAAAGCGUGGGGAGCAAACAGGAUUAGAUACCCGUGUAGUCC
rnacentral:rRNA from 1 species